CUAGUCAGAGUCUAGAUCAAAAUCACAGUCAAAGAAUUUGUGCAAUUUGAACUUGAAAGAAAGUGCCAAACAAAAUUGUCUAAAUAACAACGAAAACAAGGACGGUUAAAGAAUUUGUGCAUCUUUAACUUUUAAAAUAUUCAAAACCAACCUUUUUUUUCAUGACGUCAUAGUCAAGGCGGCAGGCGUGUGUUGCCUAUAGGCGGCCGCCUAAGCUGUGAAGUGCUGUGGAAACCUUGCCAUCUCUUGCCUCUUUUUUUUAUCACCUUGGUCAAAUAAGGACUUUAUGCAUGUUUAAAAAGGACGUAAAAAAAACAACGAAUGAACCUGCCGAUGCAGUCUGUUUCAUGCGGUGUCAUGCUGUGGUACUUCAAUCAUCUUACUUCAUAAGUUCAACAAGUCGAGAAGCUAUAUUUUUUUAUUGUUUACAACCUUGAGUAAAUUCUUCACUGAUGAAAAAGCGAAUAUCCCUCCACUGUGCCUGGCUAUGGGCCUCAUUGAUUGUAAGAUAUUUAUUGAGUGUUUUCCGUCACUCUAAACACUGUUACACCUGUUCUUACUUUUAAUGUUUUAGGGUUUUUUAAACUUUAUGGAUCAACAUGUUUUAAAAUGUAUUCUUUGUGCGAUGCACCAAAGGAAUUUUACAAAGAAAGAUGCCUUCAUAUGGAAUGUACUAUAAUGUCAACCUUUAAGAAUCAAUCACACACAGGUCAACACUAUCCUCGGCUAUUGGAAGGUUUUUGGAUCACAUUGAGCUCCAGAUCUUUGGCCAUAAAUAACAAAGCCGAAGUGAGCGUUUUGGCCAAACAAGCAUGUUUGAAUGUGAACGCACCCAUCUCACUCCACUGCCUGCAGGACUUUUCUUUAUUUGAAGUGCGCCACCACAUAAAACCUCUGUUUCCUCUGGAAUAAGUGGAACCACUGCUUAUGUUCUGUGUACUUUGUCAAUAAAGCAGCGUUUUGUUUUCUUUGUUUCAACUGAUCAGCCUUGGAGACUGGGACAACCCUGUGUGUGGUUAACUUUGUGCUGCUUCAGCUCAUGGCUAUUAGGGUCGACGGAAUGCCCAAUUCUGGAUCAAUGUGUCAUUCAAAAAUGGUUCAACAAUAUUGUCCAAAGAAUAACCGUGACACUUAAAAGUAAUGUGGG
ensembl:lncRNA